CUUAUGUAUUUAGAUGUACCUUAGACAGUAGGAGUUGUAAAAAAACAACGUAAUCGAUAUUAAAAUAUCUUCCUGCCCAGGUGAAAACAAAGUGAAUAAAAUUACUAGUUUCACCUUCCUUGUAGAUUGGUCUAAGGGAAGGUUUUUUUAUUGUGCAA
rfam:Candidatus Atribacteria bacterium RBG_19FT_COMBO_35_14 rbg_19ft_combo_scaffold_628, whole genome shotgun sequence.